rnacentral:rRNA from 1 species
CAAGUCCUCAUGGCCCUUUAUGUUCUGGGCUACACACGUGCUACAAUGGCCGGUACAGACGGACGCAAAGCCGCGAGGUGGAGCAAAUCCGAAAAAGCCGGUCUCAGUUCGGAUUGCAGGCUGCAAUUCGCCUGCAUGAAGUCGGAAUCGCUAGUAAUCGCAGGUCAGCAUACUGCGGUGAAUACGUUCCCGGGCCUU